AUCCAGCUGACGAGUCCCCAACCGGACGAAAAGCGCUACCUGGAU
rnacentral:hammerhead_ribozyme from 1 species